GGCUUCCAUUUUUAACAUUUCAACUUUACAAAAGCAUGAGGUGGCGACAAACUUCUCUCCGGAAAUUAACAGGCUCUUUGAUGAUUUAACUUAGGAAACAAGAAAUUCCAUAGAACGUAUAUGGUGUAUAGGAGUUAUAUUGCCAGCUUGUAUUGUUGGUGUCCCAGCGAACAUCAUCAACUGCGUUGUGUUUUGGAGACAAGGAAUUCAAGAUCGAAUGAAUUUUUGUCUCUUCUCUCUGGCCGUCACAGACUGUCUGCACUUGGUGUGUACUCUGACAAUAUUUCCAUAUAUUUUGCUUCACAUGGAACCAAACUCCUAAGAAAGACACUCAAGAAUCGUAAGGAAAGUUUAAGUGUCACAGAACUUCGCACUACGUCAAAGAGUUUCAUUAAUUAAAAAAUUAAAAUUUUCUCUGCAAGAACAUGAGUGAGAGAAGGUGUGUGUGUGUUUUGCGCGUUGUUGUAUAGAAAUUACAAACCUCGCAUGUUUCACAGGGGGCAGGCUUUUGGUUGUGGCAGAUGUCUAAACUUAUGUUGUUUUUUUUUUCUUUUCCUGGCAACAUAUUACU